ensembl:lncRNA novel transcript
GGAACCAGAUUGGACCAUGGAUAUCUCUGCCUGCAAAACCUCUUGUGCUUUCAAGUUGAAGGUAACGGAAAAGUAUCAGAGUAACUUUAAAAGUGUACAAUGUCUAUGUAAGCACAACAAGAAAGCAACUUAACUGCCUGCAGCAUCAGACCAAGUUCCUGGAUCAUAAGUUUGAAAGCAGCUUCUAGAUGACGCUUGUGGAUAUUUGGAAUAAUAUCUACUAAUUUCUGUUAAGCAGCUAUGUUUCAACUCCACUUCAAUAAAAACAGCCAAAUUUCUCUCCUGGAAAUUCUUAAA